AUUGAACGCUAGCGGGAUGCUUUACACAUGCAAGUCGAACGCGUCGCGGACGGGUGAGAAAUGUCUGGGAAACUGCCUGAUGGGGGGGGAUCACUACUGGAAACGGUAGCUAAUACCGCAUACCAUCGGAUGUGCCCAGAUGGGUUUGGCUAGUGGGUGGGGUAAAGGCUCACCUAGGCGCCGCUCCCUAGCUGGUCUGAGAGGAGGACCAGCCACACUGGAACUGAGACACGGCCCAGACUCCUACGGGAGGCAGCAGUGGGGAAUAGUGCACAAUGGGCGCAAGCCUGAUGCAGCCAUGCCGCGUGUAUGAAGAAGGCCUUCGGGUUGUAAAGUACUUUCAGCCGGGAGGCGUUACCCGCAGAAGAAGCACCGGCUAACUCCGUGCCAGCAGCCGCGGUAAUUC
rnacentral:rRNA from 1 species